UGAAAACUUAUUGGUCAUGCAGGUGAACCAGUUGUUUCAGGUUGCACUGAAAUGCCAGAGCACAAUCUUGGAGAGUGGGUCAGAUGGAGUUUCUAAGCAGGAUUUACAGUCAAAAAUAGUAACAUGGUCUUGGGAGCAGGACGGAAGAUAUCUGAAGUUGUCAAGAGCAUGAAGGAUCUCAUGAACUUCACUGGCGACCACAAGAUAGGCCCUAUUGAGGGGUUGAAACGGCUUUUUGAACAGACAGCGACAGUAAAGCUCGAGAGACAGAAAAUGCAAGAGAUGAAGCUAUUAUGAAUGGGUCAUCUCAAUCUCAGAUGGCGUUAACUGCAGGAACGAUGAAGGCCUAGCUGGCAACAACAACAAUCACCAUCAAGUUGUUGGUCGUGGAGCUAUGAAUGGCUCAGCUCAAGCCGCAGCAGCUCUGACCAACUACCAAAGCAUGCUUAUGAGGCAAAAUGCUAUCAAUAACCCAAACUCUCUAGUCAGAGCCAGAGUCCAUCUUCUUCGUCUCAUCAGAGGCAGAACUUACCAACAAGUGGAUUUCCCAGCUCUCCCCAGAUGCAACAGCAGCAGCAGCGCACCAUGAAGGGCGCUCUCAACACGCUUCAGCAGAAUCCUGCUCAUCAUUUUGCUGCAACCACCACAUCCACAUGGUAACAAUCAGGAGCAGCAGAUGCUUCAACAGCUGUUUGUUGCAGGAGAUAUCUGAAAACGGAGGAAAGUUGCAACAGCAACAAUCCUUUACAGGUCAAAGUGGUGGCAACAAUAAUGCAGAGAGAAAACCCAACUGGCUCCACUUCCAACAUCUCAGGAGGAGGCCGAGUUCCAAGCCGCAACAACAGUUUCAAAUCAGCUUCAAACAGCAACCUUCAUUUAUCAGAAGAUAUACCUAUCACAGAACUACCUCAUGAUUUCUCAGAGGACUUCUUCAACAACAGCAUUGUUACUUUUGACAUAACACAAUGAAGAAGGUUUUAUGCUUAAUCUGCCGCAUUUAGGUUGUUUGGGUCUUUUGUAUAGAAACCAAAGAGAUAUGGAAGCAAUGAAGGAAACUGUUAUCUGUUGUAAGUUGUAACCUAUAUAGUGAUAGUAUGAUGAGGUCUUAGGUUAUAAUCUCUGCAGACAUUUUCAAGUAAUGCUAUUCUUUUCUA